UUACGGCCACAUCACGCUGAAACACGGGUUCCCGUGUGACCACGGAAGUUAAGCAGCUGAUCAGUACUUAGUUGACCGCUUGGGAAUAGCAGGUGCUGCAAG